GAUGAACGCUGGCGGCGUGCCUAAUACAUGCAAGUCGAGCGAACGGACGAGAAGCUUGCUUCUCUGAUGUUAGCGGCGGACGGGUGAGUAACACGUGGAUAACCUACCUAUAAGACUGGGAUAACUUCGGGAAACCGGAGCUAAUACCGGAUGAUAUUUUGAACCGCAUGGUUCGAAAGUGAAAGACGGUCUUGCUGUCACUUAUAGAUGGAUCCGCGCUGCAUUAGCUAGUUGGUAAGGUAACGGCUUACCAAGGCAACGAUGCAUAGCCGACCUGAGAGGGUGAUCGGCCACACUGGAACUGAGACACGGUCAAGACUCCUACGGGAGGCAGCAGUAGGGAAUCUUCCGCAAUGGGCGAAAGCCUGACGGAGCAACGCCGCGUGAGGGAUGAAGGUCUUCGGAUCGUAAAACUCUGUUAUUAGGGAAGAACAUAUGUGUAAGUAACUGUGCACAUCUUGACGGUACCUAAUCAGAAAGCCACGGCUAACUACGUG
rnacentral:rRNA from 1 species